GAUGAACGCUGGCGGCGUGCCUAAUACAUGCAAGUCGAGCGAACGGACGCGAAGCUUGCUUCUCUGAUGUUAGCGGCGGACGGGUGAGUAACACGUGGAUAACCUACCUAUAAGACUGGGAUAACUUCGGGAAACCGGAGCUAAUACCGGAUAAUAUUUUGAACCGCAUGGUUCAAAAGUGAAAGACGGUCUUGCUGUCACUUAUAGAUGGAUCCGCGCUGCAUUAGCUAGUUGGUAAGGUAACGGCUUACCAAGGCAACGAUGCAUAGCCGACCUGAGAGGGUGAUCGGCCACACUGGAACUGAGACACGGUCCAGACUCCUACGGGAGGCAGCAGUAGGGAAUCUUCCGCAAUGGGCGAAAGCCUGACGGAGCAACGCCGCGUGAGUGAUGAAGGUCUGCGGAUCGUAAAACUCUGUUAUUAGGGAAGAACAUAUGUGUAAGUAACUGUGCACAUCUUGACGGUACCUAAUCAGAAAGCCACGGCUAACUACGUG
rnacentral:rRNA from 1 species